rnacentral:rRNA from 1 species
UACGAAGGGGGCUAGCGUUGCUCGGAAUCACUGGGCGUAAAGGGUGCGUAGGCGGGUCUUUAAGUCAGGGGUGAAAUCCUGGAGCUCAACUCCAGAACUGCCUUUGAUACUGAAGAUCUUGAGUGCGGGAGAGGUGAGUGGAACUGCGAGUGUAGAGGUGAAAUGCGUAGAUAUCUGCAGGAACACCCGUGGCGAAAGCGGCGCGCUGGACCACUACUGACGCUGAGGAACGAAAGCUAGGGGAGCAAACAGG